rnacentral:misc_RNA from 1 species
AAAGAAAAAGAAUAAAAGGAAAAAUGUUAUUAUGAUUUAUAAACACACAUGGUUAGUAGAUUCCCUCCUGUAUACACAUGCAUCAAAUGCAGAAUUCUUAAACAUGUCACUCAGGAUUACAAAUAAAAUAAGCCUUCAUAUAAACGUAGACUCACUUAAUCAUGAUUAAUCAAAGUUUGUGUCAUCAUGGUUGUAAACUCAUCCAUAUCAACCAUACCAUCACCAUCAGCAUC